rnacentral:lncRNA from 1 species
CCCGGUGGAUUUCGUUGGUUUCUAUAUUAUAUAUAUAUACACACACAAACACACAUACACGCACACACCUGCCAAGUUCAAGAUCUCAAUGCGCUCCAACUCCCUCAUUUAUCCAUGUACACAUCUCAAAGCACUUCUUGAUGGUGCACGUUAAAUUUUGCUGACAUGCUUUUGCCUAACGACACGAAUUAGAUAAUUUUAAAUGCUGAGUACGGAAUUGUGGACGGCAGCCUGUACACAACUAUGCUCCAUAAAUGGUGAGGAACACUUAUGAUUUGUUUCCCAUCUUGUAUCUAUUAUGAAAAGAAGAAAUAAAUAAAUUAAGA